rnacentral:rRNA from 1 species
AUUGAACGCUGGCGGCAGGCCUAACACAUGCAAGUCGAACGGUAACAGGAAGAAGCUUGCUUCUUUGCUGACGAGUGGCGGACGGGUGAGUAAUGUCUGGGAAACUGCCUGAUGGAGGGGGAUAACUACUGGAAACGGUAGCUAAUACCGCAUAACGUCGCAAGACCAAAGAGGGGGACCUUCGGGCCUCUUGCCAUCGGAUGUGCCCAGAUGGGAUUAGCUAGUAGGUGGGGUAACGGCUCACCUAGGCGACGAUCCCUAGCUGGUCUGAGAGGAUGACCAGCCACACUGGAACUGAGACACGGUCCAGACUCCUACGGGAGGCAGCAGUGGGGAAUAUUACAUAAUGGGCGCAAGCCUGAUGCAGCCAUGCCGCGUGUAUGAAGAAGGCCUUCGGGUUGUAAAGUACUUUCAGCGGGGAGGAAGGGAGUAAAGUUAAUACCUUUGCUCAUUGACGUUACCCGCAGAAGAAGCACCGGCUAACUCCGUG